rnacentral:rRNA from 1 species
AACGAACGCUGGCGGCAUGCCUAACACAUGCAAGUCGAACGAGACCUUCGGGUCUAGUGUCGCACGGGUGCGUAACGCGUGGGAACCUGCCCUUCGGUUCGGAAUAACUCCCCGAAAGGGGUGCUAAUACCGGAUAAUGUCUUCGGACCAAAGAUUUAUCGCCUUUGGAUGGGCCCGCGUUGGAUUAGCUAGUUGGUAGGGUAAAAGCCUACCAAGGCGACGAUCCAUAGCUGGUCUGAGAGGAUGAUCAGCCACACUGGGACUGAGACACGGCCCAGACUCCUACGGGAGGCAGCAGUGGGGAAUAUUGGACAAUGGGCGAAAGCCUGAUCCAGCAAUGCCGCGUGAGUGAUGAAGGCCUUAGGGUUGUAAAGCUCUUUUACCCGGGAUGAUAAUGACAGUACCGGGAGAAUAAGCCCCGGCUAACUCCGUG